CCUACGGGAGGCAGCAGUGGGGGAUAUUGCACAAUGGGGGAAACCCUGAUGCAGCGACGCCGCGUGGGUGAAGAAGCGCCUCGGCGCGUAAAGCCCUGUCAGCAGGGAAGAAAAUGACGGUACCUGAAGAAGAAGCCCCGGCUAACUACGUGCCAGCAGCCGCGGUAAUACGUAGGGGGCAAGCGUUAUCCGGAUUUACUGGGUGUAAAGGGGGCGCAGACGGCGAUGCAAGCCAGGAGUGAAAGCCCGGGGCCCAACCCCGGGACUGCUCUUGGAACUGCGUGGCUAGAGUGCAGGAGGGGCAGGCGGAAUGCGUGGGGGAGCGGUGAAAUGCGUAGAUAUCAGGAGGAACACCGGUGGCGAAGGCGGCCUGCUGGACUGCAACUGACGUUGAGGCCCGAAAGCGUGGGGAGCAAACAGGAUUAGAUACCCCUGUAGUC
rnacentral:rRNA from 1 species